AUUGAACGCUGGCGGCAGGCCUAACACAUGCAAGUCGAGCGGAUGAAGGGAGCUUGCUCCUGGAUUCAGCGGCGGACGGGUGAGUAAUGCCUAGGAAUCUGCCUGGUAGUGGGGGAUAACGUCCGGAAACGGGCGCUAAUACCGCAUACGUCCUGAGGGAGAAAGUGGGGGAUCUUCGGACCUCACGCUAUCAGAUGAGCCUAGGUCGGAUUAGCUAGUUGGUGGGGUAAAGGCCUACCAAGGCGACGAUCCGUAACUGGUCUGAGAGGAUGAUCAGUCACACUGGAACUGAGACACGGUCCAGACUCCUGCGGGAGGCAGCAGUGGGGAAUAUUGGACAAUGGGCGAAAGCCUGGUCCAGCCAUGCCGCGUGUGUGAAGAAGGUCUUCGGAUUGUAAAGCACUUUAAGUUGGGAGGAAGGGCAGUAAGUUAAUACCUUGCUGUUUUGACGUUACCAACAGAAUAAGCACCGGCUAACUUCGUG
rnacentral:rRNA from 1 species